AAGUAAGAAGCAAUAUAAUGCAUCUAGUUUCGGCCUAGAAGAAGGUAAUUACCCUUACUUA
rnacentral:tRNA from 1 species